rnacentral:lncRNA from 1 species
AAUGAAUGAAGAAUGAAUUGCAGAAAUGACUUCGCUGAAGAUGAAGCAUACCUUUCCUCAAAAGCUCACCCAUGUAACUCUAGCUUCCAACUCAGCCCAAACACUUUAUUCCUUGAAACACGCAAGGACAGAGGCUGAAGGAUGAGCCCAGCAUGUCCCAAAUGUGUCAUCCUGUGCUGCUGGGUUCUAGAUGAGCUGAUGGCCACGUCCUA